AGUCAGUUCACUAUACACUUGUGCGACAUGUUGUUCAGACAUAAUUUCGUUGUCAUCGUUGAAGUGCACGGAUAUGGCCUCAGAAGAGGAAAUUAUAGCGCUACUUGUAAUUUCGGUGUGCGCGGAUAUGUUGGCUCAUAUAAGAAUUUCGCAUGUCAUUAAUGCGCUUUCCUACUAUAUCAAUUGUGGCAUCAUCAUCAAUUUGUUUACAAGUCUAUGUCAACUUUGUAUUCUUUUUAACUUUUUCUUGCAAAAUUCAUUUUUUAUUUCCCAAA